UACGUAGGUGGCAAGCGUUGUCCGGAUUUAUUGGGUUUAAAGGGUGCGUAGGCGGCUUUGUAAGUCAGUGGUGAAAUAUGGCAGCUUAACUGUCAGGGUGCCAUUGAUACUGCGGAGCUUGAGUACAGAUGAGGUAGGCGGAAUUGACGGUGUAGCGGUGAAAUGCUUAGAUAUCGUCAAGAACACCUAUAGCGAAGGCAGCUUACUAGGCUGUAACUGACGCUGAGGCGCGAAAGCGUGGGGAGCAAACAGG
rnacentral:rRNA from 1 species